GUAUCGUACGCUAGGAUGAACGCUGGCGGCGUGCCUAACACAUGCAAGUCGAACGAAGCAUGAUUGAAGGAGACUUCGGUCAAUGGAUAUCAUGACUUAGUGGCGGACGGGUGAGUAAUACAUGAGCAACCUGCCUUUCAGAGGGGGACAACAGCUGGAAACGGCUGCUAAUACCGCAUAACGUGCGAGAGGGGCAUCCCUUUUGUACCAAAGGAGCAAUCCGCUGAAAAGAUGGGCUCAUGACUGAUUAGUUAGUUGGCAGGGCAACGGCCUACCCAAGACUGCGAUCAGUAGCCGGACUGAGAGGUUGAACGGCCACAUUGGGACUGAGAUACGGCCCAGACUCCUACGGGAGGCAGCAGUGGGGAAUAUUGGGCAAUGGGCGAAAAACGCCUCGACCCAGCAACGCCGCGUGAAGGAAGAAGGUCUUCGGAUUAGUAACUUCUUUUAUGAGGGACGAAGGACGUGACGGUACCUCAUGAAUAAGCCACGGCUAACUACGUGCCAGCCGCCGC
rnacentral:rRNA from 1 species